GACGAACGCUGGCGGCGUGCUUAACACAUGCAAGUCGAACGGUGAAGCUCCAGCUUGCUGGAGUGGAUCAGUGGCGAACGGGUGAGUAACACGUGAGCAACCUGCCCCUGACUCUGGAAUAAGCGCUGGAAACGGCGUCUAAUACUGGAUACGAGAAGGGUCCGCAUGGGCACUUUCUGGAAAGUUUUUCGGUUGGGGAUGGGCUCGCGGCCUAUCAGCUUGUUGGUGAGGUAAUGGCUCACCAAGGCGACAACGGGUAGCCGGCCUGAGAGGGCGACCGGCCACACUGGGACUGAGACACGGCCCAGACUCCUACGGGAGGCAGCAGUGGGGAAUAUUGCACAAUGGGCGAAAGCCUGAUGCAGCGACGCCGCGUGAGGGAUGACGGCCUUCGGGUUGUAAACCUCUUUCAGCAGGGAAGAAGCGAAAGUGACGGUACCUGCAGAAGAAGCACCGGCUAGCUACGUG
rnacentral:rRNA from 1 species